AUUGAACGCUGGCGGCAGGCCUAACACAUGCAAGUCGAGCGGAGCGGCGGACGGGUGAGUAAGGCCUAGGAAUCGGCCUGGUCGUGGGGGAUGACGUCCGGAAACGGGAGCUAAUACCGCACACUCUCAGCAUAGGCUAGGGCGGAUUGGCUAGUUGGGGGGGUAAAGGCCUACCAAGGCGACGAUCCGUAACUGGUCUGAGUGGAUGAUCAGUCACACUGGAACUGAGAAACGGUCCAGACUCCUACGGGAGGCAGCAGGGGGGAAUAGUGGACAAUGGGCGAAAGCCGGAUGCAGCCAGGCCGCGUGUGUGAAGAAGGUCUUCGGAUUGUAAAGCACUUUAAGUUGGGAGGCGGUACCAACAGAAUAAGCACCGGCUAACUUCGUGCCAGCAGCCGCGGUAAUAC
rnacentral:rRNA from 1 species